CCUACGGGUGGCAGCAGUAGGGAAUAUUGCUCAAUGGGGGAAACCCUGAAGCAGCAACGCCGCGUGGAGGAUGAAGGGUUUCGGAUUGUAAACUAUUGUCGUUAGGGAAGAUAAAAGACUGUACCUAAGGAGGAAGCCCCGGCUAACUAUGUGCCAGCAGCCGCGGUAAUACGUAGGGGGCAAGCGUUAUCCGGAAUUAUUGGGUGUAAAGGGUGCGUAGACGGAAGAACAAGUUGGUUGUGAAAUCCCUCGGCUCAACUGAGGAACUGCAACCAAAACUAUUCUCCUUGAGUGUCGGAGAGGAAAGUGGAAUUCCUAGUGUAGCGGUGAAAUGCGUAGAUAUUAGGAGGAACACCAGUGGCGAAGGCGACUUUCUGGACGAUAACUGACGUUGAGGCACGAAAGUGUGGGGAGCAAACAGGAUUAGAUACCCGUGUAGUC
rnacentral:rRNA from 1 species